ensembl:lncRNA
GUAGCCUAGUGGUUAGAGGAGACAGGUAGCCUAGUGGUUAGAGGAGGCAGGUAGCCUAGUGGUUAGAGGAGGCAGGUAGCCUAGUGGUUAGAGGAGGCAGGUAGCCUAGUGGUUAGAAGAGGCAGGUAGCCUAGUGGUUAGAGGAGGCAGGUAGCCUAGUGGUUAGAGGAGGCAGGUAGCCUAGUGGUUAGAGGAGGCAGGUAGCCUAGUGGUUAGAGGAGGCAGGUAGCCUAGUGGUUAGAGUGUAGAGGUGGCAGGUAGCCUAGUGGUUAGAGUGGAGGGGCGGCAGGUAGCCUAGUG